rnacentral:rRNA from 1 species
UACGAAGGGGGCUAGCGUUGCUCGGAAUCACUGGGCGUAAAGGGUGCGUAGGCGGGUCUUUAAGUCAGGGGUGAAAUCCUGGAGCUCAACUCCAGAACUGCCUUUGAUACUGGGGAUCUCGAGUCCGGAAGAGGUGAGUGGAACUCCGAGUGUAGAGGUGAAAUUCGUAGAUAUUCGGAAGAACACCAGUGGCGAAGGCGGCUCACUGGCUCGGUACUGACGCUGAGGCGCGAAAGCGUGGGGAGCAAACAGG